rnacentral:misc_RNA from 1 species
GAAAAAUACAAGUGCAAAUAACAACAGUUACAUAACUCAGUUACUAAUCAAGCAUUCAACCACAAUAAAUCCAAGGCGCUACACCAAGUUCAGCAGAACAAAGUUGAAAUCCUACUGCCGCGUAUGACUGGUUUCUCUGGCUACUAAUAAAUAUAACUACUUAACCAAGAAAAGUAUAAACUGAUAAGCUGAUGGCAAGGAAAUCCAAAAUCCUUCAAGGAACCAAAAGGGGAAUUAAGUUGACAAACAAGAGCCAUUCCAAUGAAUGUUUAUGCCCAUGAAGGCCUGGUCUCCCGUGCAAUAUCAUUCUUAAUGGACCUCUGGAUCCUUUUCACUACAAAGAAAUACUGGAAUGCUAGUAUAAAAGGAAUUAGCACUUUGCCCCUAUUGUUUGGAUUAGGACCUUCAAUCAGUUUUUGAUCAACCAAAAUACCCUUGCUUCCACUUAAAACAGCAUCUGUAAUAGUUUGGACUAAAUUGGGUAUCCACGCAAUUCCACUUGGAAGAAUCUUUUCGUCACUUUCAUUCUUGUUACAUCUGCCACUAUUCUCAACCAAGACAACAGGAAUUGAAGCAGCCUGAAUGUCUUGUUUCCUGAUUCGAGCACCCAUCCGGACGAUUUUCAAAAGUGCCUCUGAUCUUCGGGACGUGAAUUCUUCAUAAGUCAAUCCAUCAGGAGGGGAAAGCUGAGCAUGAGUGAGAACCACAAUUCCUCGGCACCACAUUUCCUUGCCAAAAAUAUCAGUAAUAGCCUUCACAAUCUGCUUAUCCAAGUUAUCCACUCUAUAUGCAUCCAGACGAUCCACAUAUAGCAAAACAUCAAUUGUCUUGUUCAAGAGGAACUUCUUUAUGAGAUCAAGAGCCUGGUCAUUGACGUAUCCUCCUUCAACUAGCCCUGGGGUGUCAAUUAUGUUUAGUGUAAAACCUGCUCGUGAACGCGAAACCAUCACCGGUCUGGGAGUUUCUGACUGAAAUGCACUAACAGCAACUGCUCUUUCCCCAAUAAUUGAGUUCACCGUUGAUGAUUUUCCAACACCGCCUUUCCCCAUUACUAGAAUUGUGAGAGUACUGACAUUCUCCUGCUUCAGUUUCCCCAAUAAUUCAAGCAACUUUGAUUGAGUGGCAGCUGGAAACUGCUGUAUUCCAGCCCAUUCUCUAAUUAUUUGAGAUGCCAUAGCAAUUGGACAGAGAAAUGCAGUAGAAUGGAGGAGCUAUUAGCUGAGGAGUAAGAGAAAAGGGUUUAAGAAGGAAAAUCCUGGACGGCCUUAUCGCCUUCUGUAUUUU